rnacentral:lncRNA from 1 species
AUAAUCUUUUACGGUUGCGAAGGAGAUGCGCUAACAAGGAAAACAGUGUUUGGGGAGAUAACUCCUACAAAGAAAAGUAUUUGUUUACGCAGGGUAAAUUUCAAAAGCGCAUAAACUGUUCGAUAUCAUAUACAAAAUAUCUAAGCGACAUAUUGCGAAACAAAUGUUUAUCGCAAGAACAAAAUUAGGCGGAAGAAAAAAAAAAAAAUUAAAAUCCAAUUGUUCAGAGAACAAUUGAAGGUCUUUCCAUCAAAACAAUGUAUUUUGAUAUGAAAAGUUGUGAAACUAAGUUUAAAAUGUCAUUUCAAUCGUCAAAUGAUAGCUCC